rnacentral:rRNA from 1 species
CGGGUGUUCACCUCUUCCCAUUCCGAACAGAGUCGUUAAGCCCCGGAGCGCCCAUGGUACUGCCUUCACCGGCGGGAGAGUAGGUCGCCGCCAACC